rnacentral:tRNA from 1 species
GCCUGGGUGGCUCAUUCCGUUGAGCAUCUGAAUUCGACUCAGGUCAUGAUCUUGCAGUUCGUGAGUUCAAGCCCCACAUCAGGCU